rnacentral:rRNA from 1 species
UGAGAGUGGGUAGUCCGUACGAGCGCACCUUAUCCUUAGUUGCCAGCGAGUAUAGUCGGGGACUCUAAGGAGACUGCCGGUGUCAAACCGGAGGAAGGCGGGGACGACGUCAAGUCAUCAUGGUCCUUACGCCCAGGGCCACAAACGUGCUACAAUGGUCGGUACAAUGGGCAGCAAACCCGUGAGGGUAAGCAAAUCCCAAAAAGCCGGCCCCAGUUCGGAUUGAAGGCUGCAAUUCGCCUUCAUGAAGUCGGAAUCGCUAGUAAUCGCAGAUCAGCCAUGCUGCGGUGAAUGUGUUCCUGAGCCUUGUACACACCGCCCGUCAAGCCACCCAAAUGGUCCGCACCCGAAGUCGCUANCUUGACCAGCUUGCUGGAGAGGGGCGCCGAAGGUGANGGUCGUGAGGGGGACUAAGUCGUAACNAGGUAGCCGUAGGGGAACCUGCGGCUGGAUCACCUCCUUUCU